rnacentral:lncRNA from 1 species
GACUCGGGUCGUGGCUGACGACCCGACGGUUCGCCUGCGGCCGCCUCCAACAACGGUGGAAACCGCACACAGGGACCGCGGGCCCUCGGUGCAGCAAAUCGGAAAGUGCUGCGGUCGGCGGCCCUGGGCUCUGAGCGCUCAAGCGAGCAGAGGGGUGGAGGGGCUCUCCCCACCCACAGGAGGCUCUCGGCGGGGCGCAGCCAAUUCUGCGCGCCCAAGGCUCCCCUCUGCCGUGGAUCGCGUGUGCCGAGUGUUGGCCUCUUCCCCGAAAGGGCCAGACGGACCAAGGGGGCCUUCCCAGCCGGCUGCAAGCUCUCAGACGCUAAAAUGGGAACAAAGCUUCCAGAAAGGCAGCGCCUUUGGGCGGCCGCGCCCCGCCCAGCCGCGGGGGCCAUUGAUACAGAGGCUUGCUGCGCUUGGUGUGCGCGGCCCGGCCGGGCCUCUGGAAACGCCCAUGAGAAAUGAGCUCAUGCUGGAUGCGCGCGCUCCUUGGGCGCAACUGCCCAGCGCAAAACGGGCCCCGAAAGCAGGUGAGGGGAAAUGCCGUCAGGCCGGAUAUCCUGAAGCCUCCGAGGAAAUGGGGGGGUCAGAGGAGCCCGUGGUAGCUUUGGAUCUUUUGGAACUAGGGUGAUCUAUAAAAGUGCAGCUUGAGAAGAUUUCAUACAUAAGACCAGCGUCCAUUGUUCUACCAUAGAACCAGUUCCUUUGGUCUGCUUUAGAACAGUGAGGUAUGGCUACGUCAAGAUAACAGAGAAAGUAGAACAGACAGUUGCCAUCCUGAUUGUAAUCCAGUGGUGCCUGUAAUUUCUACCUGCAGAGUCAUCUCUUUCUGUUAAGAUGCUGUCUCCAGAAAGCACAUGUUAAAGGACCUAUAUUUGAUCAGAUUACCUGGCUCUUGCUUUGAAACACUGAUGAAGGACUUGGGACAGAACAAAGUAAGCUUUGAUGGAAGACAGGAAAGGUCUAGAUAGUGUUUGCAGAUUCAAAUGGCUACAGAGGCCAGACAAGUAAAGCAAAUGAGUGAGACUGGCCUUGUGUAAGACAAUGGGGAAUGAUAGGGAAAAUGGCAAAUUGGAAUAUCCAUGCCAUAACUAAAAGGAACAGCUGCUCAACUCUAGCAGAUUGUUGCCCUCAGGAAUGUGGGUCCAGUGUUCUCAGAUGUUCAAUUUUUUUCCUCCCAAAAGAAACCCCAAAAUUGGAUUUUUGUGUGAAAUCUCUGCAUUUUUAAAUGUUGGUAACCAAAUUUUCAAACCCUGCAGGCCAACCUAAAAACAUCCCUUGGCCAAUGAGGCAUUGGAAAAAGUGUUAAUAAUUGUUAGGGGCCCGAUAGCAGUAGGAGGGUGAAAACAAAAUGGUUUGGGACCUUAAAUAAUUGAAAUGUAUCUUUAUUUAUUUAUUUAUUUUUGAGACGGAGUUUCACUCUUGUUGCCCAGGCUGGAGUGCAGUGGCGCGAUCUCGGCUCACCGCAACCUCCGCCUCCCCGAUUCAAGUGAUUCUCCUGCCUCAGCCUCCCAAGUAGUUGGGAUCACAGGCAUGUGCCACCAUGCCAGCUACUUUUGUAUUUUUAGUAGAGACGGGGUUUCUUCAUGUUGGUCAGGCUGGUCUCGAACUCCCGACCUCAGGUGAUCUGCCUGCCUCAGCCUCACAGAGUGUCAGGAUUACAGGCGUAAGCCACCACACCGGGCCGGUUGAAAUUUAUCUUUAAAAUAGUGCACCUUUAAUCCUUUUUUUAUUUCUGUGUGUAUCUUAUAAUGUGCAUAUCAUGUUAGCUCAAGAUCAAGAGUUUAUGGACAAGCCAGGAGUGGUGGCUUAUGACUGUAAUCCCAGCAAUUUGGGAGGCCGAGGCAGGUGGAUCGCCUGAGGUUAGGAGUUCAAGACUAGCCUGGUCAUCAUGGUGAAACCCCGUCUCUACUAAAACUUUAAAACUUAGCUGGGCGUGGUGGCGGGCGUCUAUAAUACCAGUUACUUGGGAGGCUGAGGCAGGAUAAUUGCUUGAACCCAGGAGGUGGAGGUUGCAGUGAGCUGAGAUCGCACCAUUGCACUCCAGCCAAGGCAACAAGAGCAAAACUCCGUCUCAAAAAAAAAAAAAAAAAAAAAGUUUAUGAACCACUAGUUUAGACAAAGAAUAGUUGUACAGUUGUACAGAUGGAUAAGGAAGGAAAGAACAUUCCAGGCAAAGAGAAAAGGUUAUGCAAUGGCUGAAAUGUUUAACAAGGUAUUUGGAGACCUUGAGAUAGUUUGAAAUUAUGUAAUGUCUAAGAUGUGGGCCAAGAGAAAAUAAAGGAAAAUAUCACAGGAUAAUAGAGGAGUAAAGUAAACUAUGCUGUAUUAACUCCAUAUUAGGCAGCCAGUAAAAAUAAAUACAACCACCAAAAGUAACUCAGAAAUAUGUUUAGGAAACAAUACUAAUUGAAAAAUAUAGAACUUCAGGUUGUAUAUCUACCAUAUUUCCAAUCUGUAAAAUAUAAGUACAUUUGGAUCAAGAUUGGAAAGGAAGACAAAUUAG